CUUGUGCUGUCUGUUCGAAAAAGGCACACCUCUCUUCUACACACCCGGUCAAUAAUUGCAUUCCACGCCUCUUCUUCCUCUUCGGUUAACUUCCGCAUAUGACGUCAUCUUUAUUGGUCACGUGAACUCUCCAUAUUGCCGUUCUCAUGCAUAAAUACCAUAUCAAACAUGCUAUUUGCCCGAAAUCACAAAAAGCAAAAAGAGCAAAACUAAUAGACAAAUACUAAUUAAAAGAGAGCAAAGAAGAGUAAAUACACGUAAUUAUGUGAUUGAUACAAUAGACAUCAAAUCUAUAUUAUAUUGUAAUACCGUCACGUAGAGAAUAUCCCCCUACUGUGAUUUAACAUUUCCUCCAAGAGAAACAGUUUCAAUUCAACAUAGUGUUUCUGGUUACAUUCCCUCUAUACUACAUUUAUGUAACACCUCUAUACAUGUAUGUUUCUUCUGGAAAGAUGCAGGAGUUAAAAAGUAGCUUUUUUCUGCUUGUAUCAUUUUUCCAUUAAAUAACAGAG